rnacentral:lncRNA from 1 species
UUCUUUUUCUUCAUUCAUCAAAACUUCCCAGCAGCCAGUGCAACGGCAAACUCUACUUCAACUGCAUCUCCAACAUCAACUCAAACAACGUCCCCUGCCAGUACUUCUGAAACAUCAGGACCUACUACCACUGCCACAACAAACUCUCCAUCAUCAACACCAGCUGCCAGUACAAGGUCUUCUACGACUGAGUCUCAAACAACAACAUCUACAAGUCCCGCAGCCAUUGCAACAACAGCUUCUACAUCAACUGUGUUACCAACAUCAUUUCCUUCAACAUCUCAUGCCAGUACAAACUCUUCUACAACUGAAUCUCAAACAGCAGCACCUACAAAUUCUCAUUCAACUGUGUCUCAAACAUCAACAUCUCCUUUAACCUCUGCUACAACAAACUCUACUUCAUCUGAGACUCCAACAUCAGCUUCUUCAAACUCUCAUUCAACUGUGUCUCAAACAUCAACAUCUCCUUUAACCUCUGCUACAACAAGCUCUACUUCAACUGAGACUCCAACAUCAGCUCCUUCAACAGCCUCUGCCACAGCAAACACUCCUCCAACUGAGACUCCAACAUCAGCUCCUUCAACCCCUGCCACAACAAACUCUUCUCCAACAUCAGCUCCUUCAACAUCUCCUGCCAAUACAACCUCCUCUACAACUGAAUCUCAAAAUACAACAUCUUCUGCCAAUACAAUCUCUUCUACAAAUGAGGCUCACACAACUGCUGCACCUACAACAGUCUCAACCAGUACAAAAACUUCUACGACUGAGUCUCAAACAACAGCGAAUACAAGUAUGUAAAAGAUAUGUACAGCUGUCUAAAUACUUGAUAAGAAAUGUUUUACCAAUGACUGUUGAUG